rnacentral:rRNA from 1 species
AACGAACGCUGGCGGCAGGCCUAACACAUGCAAGUCGAGCGGGCGUAGCAAUACGUCAGCGGCAGACGGGUGAGUAACACGUGGGAACGUGCCCUUCAGUUCGGAACAACCCAGGGAAACUUGGGCUGAUACCGGAUACGCCCCGGACUUGAUCCGGGGGAAAGAUUUAUCGCUGAGGGAUCGUCCCGCGUCUGAUUAGCGGGUUGGUGAGGUAAUGGCUCACCAAGGCGACGAUCAGUAGCUGGUCUGAGAGGAUGAUCAGCCACACUGGGAAUGGGGCACGGCCCAGACUCCUACGGGAGGCAGCAGUGGGGAAUAUUGGACAAUGGGCGCAAGCCUGAUCCAGCCAUGCCGCGUGAGUGAUGAAGGCCCUAGGGUUGUAAAGCUCUCUCGGCGGGGAAGAUAAUGACGGUACCCGCAGAAGAAGCCCCGGCUAACUUCGUGCCAGCAGCCGCCGUAA